rnacentral:rRNA from 1 species
GAUGAACGCUAGCUACAGGCUUAACACAUGCAAGUCGAGGGGCAGCAUGGUCUUAGCUUGCUAAGGCCGAUGGCGACCGGCGCACGGGUGAGUAACGCGUAUCCAACCUGCCUUACACUCUUGGAUAGCCUUCUGAAAGGGAGAUUAAUACAAGAUGUUAUCAUGAGUAAGCAUUUUCGCAUGAUUAAAGGUUUACCGGUGUAAGAUGGGGAUGCGUUCCAUUAGAUAGUAGGCGGGGUAACGGCCCACCUAGUCUUCGAUGGAUAGGGGUUCUGAGAGGAAGGUCCCCCACAUUGGAACUGAGACACGGUCCAAACUCCUACGGGAGGCAGCAGUGAGGAAUAUUGGUCAAUGGACGAGAGUCUGAACCAGCCAAGUAGCGUGAAGGAUGAAGGUUCUAUGGAUUGUAAACUUCUUUUAUACGGGAAUAAACGAAUCCACGCGUGGAUUUUUGCAUGUACCGUAUGAAUAAGGAUCGGCUAACUCCGUGCCAGCAGCCGCGGUAAUACGGAGGAUCCGAGCGUUAUCCGGAUUUAUUGGGUUUAAAGGGAGCGUAGAUGGGUUGUUAAGUCAGUUGUGAAAGUUUGCGGCUCAACCGUAAAAUUGCAAUUGAUACUGGCAGUCUUGAGUACAGUUGAGGUAGGCGGAAUUCGUGGUGUAGCGGUGAAAUGCUUAGAUAUCACGAAGAACUCCGAUUGCGAAGGCAGCUUACUAACCUGUAACUGACAUUGAUGCUCGAAAGUGUGGGUAUCAAACAGGAUUAGAUACCCUGGUAGUCCACACGGUAAACGAUGAAUACUCGCUGUAGGCGAUAUACGGUCUGCGGCCAAGCGAAAGCAUUAAGUA